CCCCCAGCCCUAGCCGCAACCCCAACCCCAUGGAGGUCGAGAUCAAGCUCCGGCUCCCGACGCGGCUGCACACCGGCGCCUCUCCUCCUUCCUCGCGCCCCGCCUGCUCCGCACCGACGCCCCCGCGUGGCCCACGCCACUGUCGUCCUGCGAUCCAAGUUCCAACUGACGCAGCCGGAUCUCGUGCGAUCUCACAGCCGCCACCGCCGCUGCCGAACUCACGGUCGGAUUUCGUGCGAUCUCACAGCCGCCGCCGCCGAACUCACAGCUGGAUCUCGUGCGAUCUCGCUGCCUCCAACGUACGGAAGUCUCUACUGUAUGGGACCGCCGCCACGGUAUGCCGCCGCGGACGUAAGAGGCUGAAGCGCGGCGGGUGGGACAGGGUGUGCGUCGUGUUGCUGGAGAACUUCCUCGAACGAACGCUGUGGUGGUGCCAUUGUCCAUUGAUCUGGACGUCGGUAGAAAAAUUGAGGGAAAUCAAAGUCAGAAGAAUUGAAAAUACUAUGCACUGUGUCUACAAAAAGUCCAAGCUGCGUAUUCCUACAUAAGGAUAAGGAUCCACGAAAUCUGGAGGACCUUCAGACUUGGCUCUUUGCUGGGGCGAAGGGUGUGAAGUGGUUUGCCACAGAUUCAGAGGCCAUUUGGUGCAGGGAACCUAUUGGAUUUACAUCUUCUACUCUCUUGACAAGGCAGUGUUCGAGGGUGUGCCUAGGUGAAACACAUGCUCUCCAUCACCCUUUCCUUCUAGAGCCGGUAUCAGGUGUGUGCAAUUUGAUGAAAUACAGAUGUCUGGUGUUUCAAUCAGUAUGUCGCAUAGUUUUUUCAUAUGUGCUUUGCUGCGAAAAAUCAACACAUCAUUUAAUUUAUUUCUCAGUUUACAUCAGCAAAUGACCCUCUACUUGGCGUCAAAUAAUGAAUGCACGUGAUCUAGGACUAUUUGCUUUGGUGCUUAAUGGAUCGCAUCAUGCAUCCUAUUUAAACUGCAAUGCUUUACAUCUAAUGUUAUUUUUUGAGUCAUGGAACAGUGGCGGUCUUGAAGCGGUGGUGCCUUUAUAUACCAAGACUGGAUACAAAAUAAGGUUGAUUUUUGUUUGCUCUGACGAUAGGGAGGCAAGACCAGGAUCACAUUCUUGGCCCCGUUUGAAGGAACGACGAUUUUCAGGAUUGACGCGGAUUGAUUUUCUUGAACAUGAAGUUAACUACAUGUGAAGCUGAAGCUAAGCCAAUGUGCUUUUCCAGAAGAAGGCCAAGGCACAUCAAUCCAACACCAACCCACCUGCUAUGGAACUAAGGGAGGAAGGAAAAAGAACAUUGCCCCUGAAGGCUCGAGACGCACAAACAGGAAGCUGAGUUCGGCAAAGACACCUUGUGCUUUCUUAAGUGGUCCGUAAUAACAAUGAGAUCAGAGAUUACUGCUCUAUUCAUUACUCUUCUAAAUCUUGUGAGUGCAAGGCAUGCAAAGUGUUAACUGAAACCCCAUGGCCUACUCGCCAUCGUCAACUUCCUCUUUGCGCUCGCCGUCAACGCUCCCAUGGGCAGAACCACAAGGGGAUGGAUGUACAUCUGUACACCCGUUAAUCUAGGGAUGAGGGGACGAGGACAAGAAGGCCACGGGUAUCAUGGUGGAGAAGGAGGACAACAAUGACAUUGAGGAAGGGCAGGCAUGCCGCUCCAUGGAAACUACGAUGACCAGUUCCUUACUCACAAUACUGGAGAUCUUCAUACAACCCCAUAUGCAACAACACAAUUUCCAUUACUUAGCAUGCAUCAUAAUGAAUCAAAUUAGUAUCUCUUUUCUUAUUUUUGGCUAGGAUGGAUUUCCGUUUCUUGUGUAUAUACAGAUUUACUACUACUGCUACAUUGUUACUCCAUUAUACUAAGAGAAUGGGACCUGGUCUGAUCCUUCCUA